AUUAAGGCUUUUAUUUGGUUAGUUAUCAAAGGGAGGAUCCCGACCAAGGACAAUUUGUGUAAAAAAGGCUGGAAAGGCACCAACAAAUGUGAAUUUUGUGAUGCCAAUGAAUGUAUUGACCAUCUGUUUUUCACUUGCUCUUUUGCUCGGUUUCUUUGGAAUGUAGUUGGGAGUGCUUUGGGAAAUCCCCAAACACCCCUGUCAUUCUUUGACUUUUGCCAGAAUUGGCUUCCUAAGUAUACUGGGAAAGAUAGAGUGGUUAUAGCUAUUGGUAUGGCUGCUUUAUUAUGGUCGAUCUGGAAAACAAGAAAUAAAUCUUGCUUUCAAAAUUCUUUACCUAAAGAUCCUACUGAUAUUAUCUUCUCCUUAUGUUCUGUGUUGGAUUCGUGGGGUGUGCUACAGAAAAGAGGAGUGCAAAAAACUCUUAAGGAAGUGACCAAGAGG
rnacentral:rRNA from 1 species